GUUUUAAUAGUUUAAUAAAAAUAUUGGUUUUGUAAACCUAAGAUAAGCUUAGCUUUUAAAAC
rnacentral:tRNA from 1 species